rnacentral:rRNA from 1 species
UACGAAGGGGGCUAGCGUUGCUCGGAAUGACUGGGCGUAAAGAGCGCGCAGGCGGUCGUUCAAGUCGAGUGUGAAAGCCCCCGGCUCAACUGGGGAGGGUCAUUCGAUACUGAUCGACUCGAAGGCAGGAGAGGGAAGUGGAAUUCCCGGUGUAGUGGUGAAAUGCGUAGAUAUCGGGAGGAACACCAGUGGCGAAGGCGACUUCCUGGCCUGUUCUUGACGCUGAGGCGCGAAAGCUAGGGGAGCAAACGGG